rnacentral:lncRNA from 1 species
CCGAUUUGAUUGACUCGUAAUUAAAUGAUUUUAAAUGUUCUUUAUAAAAACUGGUUAAGCACUGAUAUUUUCGGUUGCAGGUUAAACUAAUGACACAAAUGUCAUUAUGAUAUAUGUUUCAAUGCUGUUCCAAAUCAGAGAUAAAGAGGAAUUCAUUAUAGGCCAAAGAGCGAAGUGAUAUUUGCAUGGAACAUAAUAGUUGCUAGGUUUUACUUUUUUGGGGUUAUGCAUAAUUACGACACUCAAGUAAGAAAUGCUAACUGCUAUCUAUUCUGCAACAUUCAUGAACAGUUUUUACUUUCAAUGAAAUUUAUGUCAUAUAAAUAUUCUUUUAAUCUACUGCAAUCUAAUGCAAUAUAUGUCUGUUUUCCAUGUUUUGUAACGAUUAAAUAACAGUGAUUGGGUAUUAUAAUCUUUUUUUUUAUUUGAGCUUCAACAAUACAUUUUAAUGUUUGAAGAUCAAUGGAUGCAGUCUGCAUUAGCGGAUCCGUUGUGCGGGAAUGGUAUUCUGGUGGUUGAAACCCCACUUUUUUCAAUUUUAUUUGAUUUCGUGAACGUUUCCGUGGUUUGUUAAGAAAGGCUGGAUCCACGUCUUGUCUUAUAUCGUGAAUGAUAGUUUUACAUGGUGAACUGAUAAUUCAAUUGAGUUAUUAUAGUUUAGGCUUGUGUUGUGCUGUAACACCAGCCCCGUUUUGGUGAGAACUGAGCGCACACAAACAUAUUUAAUCCCGCCACUAUAUUUUAUGUGCCUGUUCCAAGUCAGGAUCGAGCCUGCAGUUCAGUGGUUGCAAUUGGUUCAAGUCUGUUAUACAUGUUUUUUCGGAAUUUUUGUCAUAAAUUAGGUCGUCAGUUUUCUAAUUUAGUUGUUUUAUAUUGCUCAUGUCUGGACCUUUUGUAGCAGACAAUAACUGCUUACAUCCACUUCAUUUGAACUCUGUGGGUAGUUGUCUCAUUGGUGAUUAUACCACAUCUCCUUAUUUUUAUAUUACAGAUGGAUAUAUGGUUCGAUAAAAUGUUGUUCGAACUAAAAUAAACUGUGUCGUUCGUCAGUCAAAUGUUAUAGAGGAAUAUUGAAAAGUUAAUUAUUAUUAUUAUGAAGAAGAAAUUCAUGACUUUUGUUUGUGUAAAUAGAUAAUGUCUACUGUCCAUAAACUUUUCAAUUAAUGAUCUAAACAGACAUAAUUUCAAAGUGUUAUUUUUUUCAAUUACAAUUGAAUAAAAAAGCCUUGUUGUUGUUGUAGUUAGCGACAAGCAACUGAUUGUUUGGUCCACUAUAAUGAAGUGACACGGAAACCACUAAGACCAUCACUGUUGUCAAUAUUUCUCUAUGUCGUUGUCCAUUAGGGGAGAUAACUACCACAUUGUUCGAUUCGUUUCCCACCACGUACACAUUACCAGCAUGAUCUACAUCAAUACCACGAGGCCUCUUUAGAACGCUUUCGUUAUGAAAUGUCCAUUGUUUUUUACCUUGAAGAGUAUAACAAAUAACAGUGUGUUUAUCGUAAUUUGUAUGAUAUACGUUGUCCCUAAAGUUGCAGAGGUAACAGUCCACUUGGCAUUUUGUCUCGAACUAUGUCACUUAUAGACUCGUCGGUUAGAUUGAUCAUUCGUAUUCCUUUGUCGCACCGGAAUAAAUCAAUCGAUUAUCUUUCAAUGCAAUACCAAAACUGUCGGAAUCUAGUGAAAUUGUUUUCUUGAUUUGUUUCUUCUCCAAGUCUAUAAUAGUAAUACACUUCUUCUGUGACCAACCAGAUGUAACAGCUAAUGUAUUGUCUUCACUGUUGUAUACUAUAUCAAACGGUUGAAACGGCAUCUGGACCUCAAAGUCUUUUGAUCCUUUAUCACUGAAAACUUUUAAUUGUUUGGUCACGUAGUAAGUAAAUACCAGUCUAUCAUCUGGAAGUAUGCAACAUCCGUAAACGCCGUCUCCUUGAGUGUUGAUGGUCUUAUGUAUCAGAAGCUUUAUAUUUUCUAUAGAUUUUUUGGAACGAUUGGAAUCAUCAAUUGGGCUUGUCUGUGGCUUCUUCUUGAUCAGAACUAUGUCGCAUGGAUUAGAUUCAAUACGCACUUUCCCAAAACUUUUGAUAUCGGAUAUGAUAUUCUGGAUAGAGGUGUUGGUUUGAUAUGAAAGAGUAUGCUGUUCCUUGCCUUCUACAAGAGCCUGCAAUUUUUUUUCUUUGCUAUAAACGUCCUCUUCUAUUUGCUUAAUUGAGAGAAACAUUUGAAGAUCUGUUGCAUGUUUCUUGAUGUUCAAUAGGCUAUUUUGGCAUUCUCCUAUUUCUUUUUCUUUCUUUUCUAGCGAGGACAUUAACUGACAAAUUUUUAGAGUUUCUUUUUCUUCGAGCUCGUUGAGUUGUUUCAUUAAAUCUUCUUGUAGUUUGUCGAGGUGGUUGUUGAUCUUCAUUCUAGUUUUCUUUAGUUCUUUUUCGAUUUCUUUUCUUUUUUCUUUAAAAGUCAACAGAUUGUCUUGUUGAUGCUGGCGAAUCUUCUUUAGAUUUUCUGCUAUCUCAGCUAAUGAUUCCUCUAUCUCGCACAUAGCAUUUGAGGAUUUGGCGUUACGAAUGACAUUCUCUAAUUCGACAAUUUCC